GACGAACGCUGGCGGCGUGCCUAAUACAUGCAAGUCGAACGCAGUGGGGACGGGUGAGUAACACGUGGGUAACCUCCCAUCAGAGGGGAUAACACUUGGAAACAGGUGCUAAACCGAUACUGAUGGAUGAACCCGAGGGGCAUUAGCUAGUUGGUGAGGUAACGGCUCACCAAGGCCACGAUGCAUAGCCGCCCUGGGAGGGGUAUGGGGCACAAGGGGAAUGAGAAACGGCCCAGAAGCCCACGGGGGGCAGCAGUAGGGAAGCUUCGGCAAUGGACGAAAGUCUGACCGAGCAACGCCGCGGGAGUGAAGAAGGGUUUCGGAUCGUAAAACUCUGUUGUUAGAGAAGCGGUAUCUAACCAGAAAGCCACGGCUAACUACGUGCCAGCAGCCGCGGUAAUUC
rnacentral:rRNA from 1 species